UGCCAGCCGCCGCGGUAAUACGGAGGGUGCGAGCGUUGUUCGGAAUUAUUGGGCGUAAAGCGCGUGUAGGCGGUUCGUUAAGUCUGAUGUGAAAGCCCGGGGCUCAACCCCGGAAGUGCAUUGGAAACUGGCGAACUUGAGUACGGGAGAGGAAAGUGGAAUUUCCGGUGUAGCGGUGAAAUGCGUAAAUAUCGGAAGGAACACCAGUGGCGAAGGCGACUUCCUGGGCCAAUACUGACGCUGAGGCACGAAAGCGUGGGUAGCGAACAGGAUUAGAUA
rnacentral:rRNA from 1 species